GCUGAGGCCGAGGGAGUCGCCAUUUUGGAUGGUGAACCCUGAAGUCGGUGUCUGCUGUGUUCACGGCAGGAUUCGGUUAGGAGGAACAGCACAGCAUGCUGGGCUCUGGAUUUAAAGCUGAGCGCUUAAGAGUGAAUUUGAGAUUAGUCAUAAAUCGCCUUAAACUAUUGGAGAAAAAGAAAACGGAACUGGCCCAGAAAGCAAGGAAGGAGAUUGCUGACUAUCUGGCUGCUGGGAAAGAUGAACGAGCUCGGAUCCGUGUGGAGCACAUUAUCCGCGAAGACUACCUCGUGGAGGCCAUGGAGAUCCUGGAGCUGUACUGUGACCUGCUGCUGGCUCGGUUUGGCCUUAUCCAGUCUAUGAAGGAACUAGAUUCUGGUCUGGCUGAAUCUGUGUCUACAUUGAUCUGGGCUGCUCCUCGACUCCAGUCAGAAGUGGCUGAGUUGAAAAUAGUUGCUGAUCAGCUCUGUGCCAAGUAUAGCAAGGAAUAUGGCAAGCUAUGUAGGACCAACCAGAUUGGAACUGUGAAUGACAGGGUAAUGAACAUACUUGGUAAACAUGAAGGCAGUGUGUGGGAGCAGUUUAUUGUACUGCUUGUGGCAAUUCUAGUGG
rnacentral:sRNA from 1 species